GGAAAGGAGAUUGAGCUAUCUGCUUCUCUCCUUACCGUUCCCCCUCUGAAACUGGCUUGUGGCGCCCAAGUGUUCAUAGCGACGUUGCUUCAUUGUGAAGCAGAAUUCACCAAGCGUUGGACUGUUCACCCACUAAUAGGGAACGUGAGCUGGGAUUAGAACAUCGUGAGACAGGUUAGUUUUACCC
rnacentral:ncRNA from 1 species